CGGCGUGUAGGCUAGUCUGGCCCAAGUCGCCUGCUUCGGGAGCAGGAAAUCGCAGGUUCAAAUCCUGCCACGCCGACCA
rnacentral:tRNA from 1 species